rnacentral:lncRNA from 1 species
GUGGUGGGAUCCUGGAGACUGACUUUCUACUCCGGAACACCAGGAGGGCGGCAAGUCCUCUUCAGACCUGGUCCUCAGCGGGGACUGUGCUCACAGUGACAGCCAGGCUGAGGCACAGAGCCCAGGGGCAGCCCCUCUUCUGUCUGCACCCCCUCACGCUCCUGGGCUGGUGCACCCUGGCCUCACACUUGGAGCCUAUCGCCCCCUGGUGGGCACAAGGUGCUGAGGGGCAGGACUGCCUACCCCAGGGAGCAUGGACCAGGGGCAGGCAGAGGGUGCUGUGAGGGGCCCAGGCCAGGGCAGCAGGCUGUGGAGCUGCACGGAAGGCUGUCUUCAGGGAGGCUGUGGUCCAGAGCUCGGGAAGGCAGCAGGGCUGAGGGACCGUGUCCCUAGUGGUGGUGCUGGAGGAGCCAUGGUGGACGACCCCUCUUCCCCAGGCCUCCCCAUUGCUCCAGAGAGGGAGGGAGGGACCAUCUGCUCCCCCAGUGACUGCACUGGGGAAGCAGAGCCUCCCUGUUCGCUCCUGAGCUUGGGGGCCAACACUGCCCCAGCAUCGCUCAAUCACUUUGACAAACCCGCUGCAGGCUUCCCAGAGCCAGGUGUGGAGGCUUCACCCUGGCUGGGAUCCAACCUUCUGCUCAGGGUCUGCACUGGGAUGAGCCAGUCCCCUUCCUGGGCUCUGUAGCCACAGAGCUGCCCCUUCCUGGCCUCUGUAGCCACAGAGCUGGUGACCGUGGCCUGGAGGGUGAGUUAGGGUUGCUAUCAGCUCUCAAGCACAGGCCUGCUCUCUCAGGAGCUGGGCCUCGCACUCUCUGGAGCCCUGGAUGGGGGCUGACCAGGAAGGGGACGGGGCUGACAAACCAGAAGCAGGGACUGGCGUGCCCUGGGCAGAAGACUGUGCGCACAGCAUGCUCCUGCAGUCAGACACAUGCGCAUGGCACAAGCACAGCUGCACACCCUUCCCACGGGCACCCUGUUCCCAUACCUUCAAGCCUAGGAUGUCAUAAUGGAACCAUCAGGAAGAAAUGUGAGUGUUUAAAGGUCCAUGAAACCUGAGUCCUCACGGUCUAAUCACCUUAGAUGAUGCCCAUCUCCCAGCACUGCUGCACUGGGUCCCAAGUCUCCAACCCAUGUUUUGGGGAGGCACAGUCAAUCCAUAGCAGGGGCCCCAUCGAGAACAAAAACAUCACAGCCCCAUGCAAGACUCUGGCUGAUUCUCAGCCCGUGCUCCCCAUACUGCACAGACAUGGAUCCUGACAGCAGCUUUUUAAUAAUCACCACGCUGGAAACACACCUGGUACUCUUCGAUGGGCAAGUAGAUGAAGAACCACCACCCAUCCCUGAGAUGGAAUACUACUCAGUAGCGGCAGGAAUGAGCUUCCAGUUUCUACCCCCAGAAAGAUCUCACAUGCUGCUUUCUUUGUGAAGAAGUUGGAUUCAUCAGGCUGCUAAGUGCACAAUUCCAUCCUUGUGCGCUCAGGAGCAGGCAAAGCUUCGGAGAAGGGGGAGAUCAGAACUCGCCCCGAAGAAGACCUGAGGGUAUUUUGGACGAUGGGACUGCUGUGUCCUGACUGGUGGUGGAUGCAUGACUCUGUGCAGCUGUCCCACUGUAUGUCCACGUUUUUGAAAAUGUAAAUAUAACAGACUAAUUACCAGCAAAAUGUAG